GCUCCAGACUCCUACGGGAGGCAGCAGUGGGGAAUAUUGCACAAUGGGGGGAACCCUGAUGCAGCGACGCCGCGUGAGUGAAGAAGUAUUUCGGUAUGUAAAGCUCUAUCAGCAGGGAAGAAAUAGCGACCUUUGGGUCGCCAGACGGUACCUGAUUAAGAAGCCCCGGCUAACUACGUGCCAGCAGCCGCGGUAAUACGUAGGGGGCAAGCGUUAUCCGGAAUUACUGGGUGUAAAGGGAGCGUAGACGGUUAAGUAAGUCUGGAGUGAAAGGCCGGGGCCCAACCCCGGGACUGCUCUGGAAACUAUUUAACUUGAGUGCAGGAGAGGUAAGCGGAAUUCCUAGUGUAGCGGUGAAAUGCGUAGAUAUUAGGAGGAACACCAGUGGCGAAGGCGGCUUACUGGACUGUAGCUGACGUUGAGGCUCGAAAGCGUGGGGAGCAAACAGGAUUAGAUACCCGGGUA
rnacentral:rRNA from 1 species